CGUAGGGUGCAAGCGUUAAUCGGAAUUACUGGGCGUAAAGCGUGCGCAGGCGGUUAUGUAAGACAGGUGUGGAAUCCCCGGGCUUAACCUGGGAACUGCAUUUGUGACUGCAUAGCUAGAGUACGGUAGAGGGGGAUGGAAUUCCGCGUGUAGCAGUGAAAUGCGUAGAUAUGCGGAGGAACACCGAUGGCGAAGGCAAUCCCCUGGACCUGUACUGACGCUCAUGCACGAAAGCGUGGGGAGCAAACAGGAUUAGAUACCCUGGUAGUCCACGCCCUAAACGAUGUCAACUGGUUGUUGGGUCUUCACUGACUCAGUAACGAAGCUAACGCGUGAAGUUGACCGCCUGGGGAGUACGGCCGCAAGGUUGA
rnacentral:rRNA from 1 species